CAAUACUGGUUAGCUUUCGUAAACGCCCUCAGUGAGGCGUACUAAAAACGAAUUUGCAAAAAAAAACUUUUUCUAUAUAGACGGCAAAAUAUUUUAAUAGUUUGCCUCUCACAACGUAAUCUUUUUUUCUCUAUAGUUUAAAACAGCUUCCCUUUUUUAGACCUCUACAAACAUAUAAUAGGUAAACCUAAAAAACUUCAUUAUAUUUUUAGAGGCGUUAUAGUAGGACCGAGUAAUCAGCGUGCGCAGCUUUGCUAAAGUCAUUAUUCUGCCAUGCAUGUAUGCAUGCAUGCAUGGAGAUAGUUUAAACCAACUCGAAAAGCAGCUCGCUGACCUAUCUGAGAGCCUUCCGGUCCUAACCGCGACAACUGAGAUAGUAAACCAGUAUGUCGUUGCUUUAAAACGAGGACAUCACGCCAAGCUCGUACAGCGACUUGCUGACGAAUGGCUUCCGCAUGGAGGAUCGCACAGUUGUCGGAUUAGCUUCGGUCCAUCGUAUUGCCAUCAUUGAUAUCGCCAAGCAAUUAGCGGUUUUUUGAAGAGUGAAGUUUAGCGACUGAAAAAGAAUAGUGUUAUUGCUGUAUAUCUAAAGGAACUUAGCGACAUUAAACUUCUCACACAAUUUACGAUAAAAAAGAAACAUAAAAUAAAAAAAAAAGUCUACUUUUGUUUGAAUGUUGAACUCCAAUAGUAGUGGACAUUAAUCAAUUCAAUUUAGAAGUUAAUUGCAGUACACAUUUGAUUUCUGGGUAUCAUUAUGUAAGUCGUUUCGUGUAGAUAUUUACUCUUAUGUACUUAAGAAUGAUGAACUGCAGAACCAUCGAAUAUACCAUCAAAAAUCAACUAUGCAGGCCUUUUUCUGAAAAACAAAUUUCUGUAAUUGAUGAUAAAAAAAAAAAAACGGCUUCUCUGAUACGCGGUAUCCAUUUUCUCGCGGCCAUGAGUCGGGAACAUUGUACGUUGAUUUUUAUGAUGUAUUAGUUGCAGUACGUUGCUAUGGCGUCAUGAACAUGUAGCCAUAAACAGUUUUAACUUCAAUGUUGGCAAAUGGUUAUUGUUAGCAUAUCGAAAUGGUGCCGCCUGAAUAUUAAACGUAAAAUACUAAUUUCAAAUACACUGAUCAUUUACGUAAAGAACACUUCGGCAAAAUUUUAAUUCUGUUUGUUAACUUAACCUAAUGCGUGUUAUAAUCUCAUAAUCCGACAACUUUAACUUAACUCAAAAAUAAUAAAAUUCAAGAUUUCAGUCGA